UACCAAUAUAAAAAUGUACAAUAUAAAUAGGUAAUCAAAUAAAAUAAAAUUAAUAAUCAAACAAUAUUUUAGAUUCUGGGCGAAGCAAGGAAUGUAUUAGUUUUACACUGAUAUUAAUUAAUUUAUUAUAAUUUUUUUUUUUUAUGAACUUUUCUACCAGAAAUUCUGCUCCAAUAUUCAAGUCUAGCGGCUUUUCUAAAUGGAAAUUUUAUCUGGGUGGUACUUAGUAAAGGUAAUUUUUAGUUUUUUCAUUAUAAUUAGUAAACACCAAAAAAAAGAUGAAAGACUUUAUGUUUUGUACCAAAAAUAAUGUUCCAAUAAAAAAU